rnacentral:rRNA from 1 species
CCUACGGGUGGCAGCUGUGAGGAAUAUUGGUCAAUGGGCGCGAGCCUGAACCAGCCAAGUAGCGUGAGGGAAGACGGUCCUACGGAUUGUAAACCUCUUUUGUCGGGGAGCAAAAGACCCUACGCGUAGCGUUCCGCGAGUACCCGAAGAAUAAGCAUCGGCUAACUCCGUGCCAGCAGCCGCGGUAAUACGGAGGAUGCGAGCGUUAUCCGGAUUUAUUGGGUUUAAAGGGUGCGCAGGCGGAAGUGCAAGUCAGCGGUAAAAUUGAGAGCCUCAACCGCGUCGAGCCGUUGAAACUGGUUUUCUUGAGUGAGUGAGAAGUAUGCGGAAUGCGUGGUGUAGCGGUGAAAUGCAUAGAUAUGACGCAGAACUCCGAUUGCGAAGGCAGCAUACCGGCGCUCAACUGACGCUCAUGCACGAAAGUGUGGGUAUCGAACAGGAUUAGAUACCCGAGUAGUC